GCACACGCACUUUCACACACAGUCCUCUGUUUGACAUUUGUCUGAACAUUUGUUGUUGUUUUAUUUUAAAAAGUUUUUUUUUUUAUACACACAGAUUUCGUACACAAUUACAAAACUAGAUUUCAUAUUCUAUUUGCAGUGGAACACAGUACUGUGUACUGUGGCAGUGGAAAAUCUGAGAUUUUUACACAAAAAUCUCAAAAGCAAAUAGAAAACGACAUAAGUUUCUCUAUGGAGUUGGUUACACAGUCAGACAGUGUUGUGCCCAAUAACGUUCAAAUUUACAUUUUCUAGGAACAAACGUCAAAAAGAGGAAAAUCCUCAUACCUCUUGCCUUGCCAACAACCUGACUGGUAAGGCGAUUGGAAAAUCAACGUGUAGCCAGGAACAACGAAAUUUACUGUUUUUACAAUAUUUAAUGAUGUUCUUCUUUUGAAAUCCAAAUCAUCGGCGGAAAGCAAAAUGCUUCUAAGUCCUAUGGAGUUGGAACAAUUCUAAAAACUGUUAAAGAAAAAUGCUUUUUUCUAUUCAAGUGAAUUGCAGUGUGCCUUCAUUUUCUUUACGCUGUUUCUCCAAAUGUUUACUUUUCAAGUGUCGCUCUAUCGCACCAUCUCUUUGCAGAGCAAUUUAUUGGUUGCAGUCUCAACAAACCUACUCAAUUAAUUAUUAUUCAAACAUCUCGUGAACACAAGUCAACAUAAGGAAACAACGAAUAUGGUACCCAAUAAGGACCACCAAAAGUAUUUAACACUAAUUGCAGUAUCCAUAGGUGGAUUCCUUAAGACAUCCAUCAACCCUGAAUUCCAUAAAAACUGCCGAACGAUUCUGGGUAUUGGAGAGAAUUCCGAAGCCGAAGAUAGAAUUACUCAAAUCAUCACAAAUAUUAAAUGGAAACACCAAAUUGAUUUCAACUAAACUAGUUCAAACAUUUAUUGUUAAUUAAAAUAAAGUCUACAAUUUAAAUAAGUUUAAAAGUUUA